rnacentral:tRNA from 1 species
GUCGUUUUGGCUCAGUGGUUAGAGUUUAGGAAGUUUCGUAACCGAAAGGUCGCGGGAUCGAAACCCGCUAGAGGCU